GACGAACGCUGGCGGCGUGCUUAACACAUGCAAGUCGAACGGAAAGGCCCUGCUUGCAGGGUACUCGAGUGGCGAACGGGUGAGUAACACGAGGGUGAUCUGCCCUGCACCUCGGGAUAAGCCUGGGAAACUGGGUCUAAUACCGGAUAGGAGUCAUUUUUAGUGUGAUGGUUGGAAAGAUUUUUCGGUGUAGGAUGAGCUCGCGGCCUAUGCGCUUGUUGGGGGGGGAAUGGCCUACCAAGGCGGCGAGGGGUAGGCGGCCUGAGAGGGUGGACGGCCACAAUGGGACUGAGGGACGGCCCAGGCGCCUACGGGAGGCAACGGUGGGGAAUAUUGCGCAAUGGGGGCGAGCCUGAUGCAGCGACGCCGCGGUGGGGAUGACGGGCUUCGGGUUGUGAAAUCCUUUCGCUCGGGACGAAGCUUUUUGUGACGGUACCUGGAUAAGAAGCACCGGCUAACUACGUG
rnacentral:rRNA from 1 species